UUUUUGAGAUGGAGUCUUGCUCUGUCGCCCAGGCUAGAGUGCAGUGGUAUGAUCUCAGCUUACUGCAACCUCUGCCUCCCGGGUUCAAACGAUUCUCCUGCCUCAGCCUCCUGAGUACCUGGGAUUACAGGCGCGCAUCACCAUGCCCAGCUAAUUUUUGUAUUUUUAGUAGAGACACUGUUUCGCCAUGUUGGCUAGGCUGGUCUCGAACUCCUGACCUCAGGUGAUCCACCUGUCUCAGCCUCCCAAAGUGCUGGGAUUACAGGAGUGAACCACCAUGCCCAGCCUAAAGACAUCUUUUAAUAGGUUAAAUAAUAGAAAGUCCUUUUAGGAAAUGCCACUGCUCUCUGUCCCCUGUGCUCCGUGACUUGCCCACCUGCCUGGGGUGUGGGUGGGAGGCUGGCCCGGACCCCUGCCUGGAGGCCUCCGUGUCCUCAGCCCCAGCUGCGUGCAUUUCUUCAUGCGUCCCCUGCACACAGGAUGCACCGUACCACGUGCCCGGCUGUGGGCUGCGUGUGUGGUAGGGAUGUGCAGGUCCCCGGGUGGCGAGGGGGGUUCUGAGUUCCCGGGAGGACAUGGACAGGGAAGGAGAUGCAGGAGAGACACACACAGGGCCUGUGGGGAUUCCAGGGCCAGAGCUGUCAAGCUCGGCGGCUGGAGCUGAAGAUGGGGCGGGCUGUGCGGCGCUGGUGACGGGCACCGUGGCCUGGCUGGGGUGCUCAGGUACCAGCUGCUUCUCCUGGCUGGGUCUGGCUCGGUCUCAGCACGUGGCCAAGCCGGCAGCACAAGCACAGGCCUUGGUCUUGGCUGGGAGCAGGGCUGGCCCUGCCAGGCACCAGAUCAGAGCCAGGAGCGCGCUGGCAAGCCCCGCGGGACAUAUUGUGCAUCAGCUACCACGGCAGCCCUUCCCAGACGGGCCUCUGCUCGCCUGGGGAGAUGGUGGCAGAAUGCGGAGGUGCCCAGCCCUGGCCACUGCCCCACCCCUGCACUCUGACCUGCCAGUCCCAGAAAUGUCCUCUCAGAGCCCUGGAGUCAGCGGGCGCUUUCUGGGGAGCUUUGCCUUCUCCCCUCUCCCCAUCUGUCCCUGACUAUUGGAGUCAGUGCUUGUGUUUGAGCCCCCGAAUCAAAUAGCUUUGCAAUUUGUCAAAUUAUGCAGAAGAGACAGAGGAGAGGAAAGGGAAGUAGUUUGGUUCUAUUAUGUGGAAAUUAGCUUUGAAACAGAGGCCGUUUGCCUGUUAGAGCAAUUUCUCUCCAUUUAUUUCUAGAGAAAAUUGCCUGUGUGGCUCACAUCCUCAUCUGGUGGGGCUGGCUGUCUCCCAGGCCACUAGGCAUGGGGGCUGGAGGCCUGCACCAGCCCUGAGGGCGUCUCCAUCCUGGCCAGGGAAUGGAAGGGAGACCAGGAGGCUUCAUGCUGCUGCCCCUGGCCCUGGGGCAGGAGGGGAGGGGGCAGGCUCCGGCUCACUGCCCAGCCCCCAUCUACCUCUGAGACAUGUCUUGGUGGCUCUUGGAAGGCCAGGUCCCCAGCUCCCUAGAGGAUGGGCCUGGCCAAGCCUCCUGGAUGGGGGUGGGAGGCCCUGCCUGAGCCUGACCUUGGCGGGAGAGUGCUGCAGGUGAUGCUGGGAUGGGUGGGAGGGGACUCCAGGAGGAGGGACCAGCUGAAGGCACCACAAGGCCCUGUGUUUGGGAAAGGGCAGAAGUCAGGCAAGACCUAGAAGUGGCAAUCCCAACUGCAUUUUCUAUCCUUCCAGGUGGAGCUGCCACCUGUCUGCAGAUCCCAGCCCGGCCAGCCAGCUCUACUGCAGGGCGCACUGGGGUGUCUCGGGGAGACUGGCAGAGUGAUGGCUGCAGGCUGCUGCCCUUCACGGAGCCUCCUGUGGCCACACUCGUGGGGUGCCCGUAUCUGCUGCCUGGGGGUCCCUGCACGAGCCCUCUGGGAGGCAUGCGGGCUCCAGGGUUCCAGUGGGGAGCUUGUAGUGUGGUGAGGGGGGACCUGCUAGGGCCAUGCACCACUGGAGGGCAGCAGCCCCCCACCCCUGCAACCCUGUCUGCUGCUCCGGAGCUCCGAGCAAAGUGUACACCUGGGCAUCCUGAAGGAGACUCAAAGCCAGGACGCUCGGGUGGGGUCUGAGUGCAACAUCACACUUGGCCGUGGCUGAGGGGAGAGGGCAGCCCUUUUGUGCUAUUAUCAUAUUGUUUUGGGGAAAUUGCUUUUUAUGAAAUAAAUUUUACAUAAAGUG
rnacentral:lncRNA from 1 species